CAGCAGCCGCGGGAAAACGGAGGGUGCAAGCGUUAAUCGGAAUUACUGGGCGUAAAGCGCACGCAGGCGGUCUGACAAGUCAGAUGUGAAAUCCCCGGGCUUAACCUGGGAACUGCAUUUGAAACUGUCAGGCUGGAGUCUUGUAGAGGGGGGUGGAAUUCCAGGUGUAGCGGUGAAAUGCGUAGAGAUCUGGAGGAAUACCGGUGGCGAAGGCGGCCCCCUGGACAAAGACUGACGCUCAGGUGCGAAAGCGUGGGGAGCAAACAGGAUUAGAUACCCCUGUAGUCCCUGUCUCUUAUAC
rnacentral:rRNA from 1 species